rnacentral:rRNA from 1 species
UAGGGAAUCUUCCACAAUGGACGCAAGUCUGAUGGAGCAACGCCGCGUGAGUGAAGAAGGCUUUCGGGUCGUAAAACUCUGUUAUUGAAGAAGAACGUGUGUGACAGUAACUGGUCAUGCAGUGACGGUAUUCAAUCAGAAAGUCACGGCUAACUACGUGCCAGCAGCCGCGGUAAUACGUAGGUGGCAAGCGUUGUCCGGAUUUAUUGGGCGUAAAGCGAGUGCAGGCGGUCUUUUAAGUCUGAUGUGAAAGCCCUCGGCUUAACCGAAGAAGGGCAUCGGAAAC